rnacentral:lncRNA from 1 species
UUUUUUGAAAUGGCAGCUGGUCAUCAUCAUCACCAAGAUCAUGAAGCUUUAACCUUAGAGCGCAUAAGCCAGUACCUCCUCAAUGACUUAACACCGAUGGAUAGCUAUAGCUUCAUCUCCAACCUCCCGCAGCAAAACCCUGCUUCCACUGAUGAACAAAUUUUAGUACAAAAGACAUCAAGCACUCUAAGUCAACGCAAGCCUUCUUCUAUAAACGUAAGAAUACCUCCUCCAACUACUAGCAUCUUCAGGUUGAAAGAUGAAGAUAAAGAUUUGGAGGUUGCUGACGAUUACAAGGAAAGGCAUUACAGGGGAGUGAGGAGACGGCCGUGGGGAAAAUAUGC